UGGGUAACCUGCCUCAAAGAGGGGAAUAGCCUCCCGAAAGGGAGAUUAAUACCGCAUAAUAUGUUCUAAUCGCAUGAUUUUAACAUCAAAGGAUUUUCUUAGGAAAUUCCACUUUGAGAUGGACCCGCGGCGCAUUAGCUAGUUGGUGAGGUAACGGCUCACCAAGGCAACGAUGCGUAGCCGACCUGAGAGGGUGAUCGGCCACAUUGGAACUGAGACACGGUCCAGACCUNUACCGGGAGG
rnacentral:rRNA from 1 species